rnacentral:tRNA from 3 species
GGAUAUAGUAUAAUGGUAGUACAACGGUCUCCAAAACCGUUGGUGCGGGUUCAACUCCUGCUAUCCC